UACGGAGGGUGCAAGCGUUGCUCGGAAUUAUUGGGCGUAAAGGGUGUGUAGGCGGUUUGUUAAGUCGGAUGUGAAAUCCCCGGGCUCAACCUGGGAACUGCAUUGGAAACUGGCAGACUAGAGUACGUAAGAGGGGGGUGGAAUUCCACGUGUAGCAGUGAAAUGCGUAGAGAUGUGGAGGAACACCGAUGGCGAAGGCAACCCCCUGGGACGAUACUGACGCUGAGGCACGAAAGCGUGGGGAGCAAACAGG
rnacentral:rRNA from 1 species